CCAGCCAUUUAGAAAAAGGUGAGCUAAAUAAGCCUCACUGAGCAGAGCACUCACUGUGGGCUACGGCUGGCAUACAAUAUUGAAUAAUCCCAAGACCUCAUGAGUAUUAUUACUACCAUCCAUAUCUUACCAGAAAGAGACUCCAAACAAGUUCACUAACUUGCCAGGAACGGGCAUUCAAACCCAGAUGAGGGUUAAGGUCAGACUGGAGCACAUUCUGAAUGAUGCCAAAGGAGAGGCAGCCAGAAGCCAUGUCACACAAAGUGAGAAACAAGCCCCCAGGAAAGUGAAGAGCUGGGAGGCAACAGACCAGACAUACUAGAGAAAACUGAGGACUGGCUCCCAAAUUCCUCCCACUGACACUCCCUCCCCCAUGGGAAGACUGGGCCUGACUUUGCUGCUGAUGUGCCACAUGAACUUGGGUUUUGGAGCACGUGACCACAAAGGGCCCUUCCAGGGUUAAUCAUGCGACCAUCAUUACCAACAACUACUGAGCACUUAUUACAUACCAGGAACUGCUGGAAGUCAGGCAGUGACAAAUGCCCCUCUCGCUCUGCCAUCCAUUACAAGUUGGAAGGUGCCAUGUUCCAAUUACUAGAGACCCCAGUGGAGCUCAUGGAAAACCCUGCUCCAGGCUGCAGCCAUUACUCAGGCCCGGCAGGGCUGCCAGCAGAGCUGCCCAAGGCCCAGGCCCCACUGGACUCUGAACUCCUUAAAGGCAGAGACUCUUAUUAAUCUUUGUGAUCCCAGCCUCCAGCAAUGCCGUGGCAACCGGCAGAUGCUCAGUGAAUUUCUGCUAACAAACAGGUAAAAGAAUCCUAGGUGGGCGCUGUGUCACACAUUGCUUAACAAUGGGGAUAUGUUCUGAGAAAUGCAUCAUGAGGCCAUUUCAUUGUUGUGCAGACAUCAUAAGGUGUACUUACACAAAUCUAGAUGGUAUAGCCUACUACACACUGAGGCCAUAUAGUACUAAUCUUAUGAGACCAUCGUUGUAUAUGCGGUCCGUCAUUGACCAAAAUGUCCAUUAUACAGCACAUGACUGUAAGUGGUUUCCUAGUAUUUCUGACGUGGCAACGCCUUAAAAGUGAACUGCAUAGUUGGUGUUCAUAAGAUGAGCCCAAGUUCCUCACCCUUCAGUAGGGCAGAAGGACAGGCAAGACAGUGAUGAGAGAGAAAAGAGGGCCAGAGUACAAAGCUAGGGACCACUGGUAUCUGUGGUUCAGUAGCUCCUACAGGGAGCAGAGGCUCAAAAGAGGUUCAACCUGCAGCCCAGAGAUUGCUGAAUCUGGGCUUUCUGUAGUGGAGAAUAUGUAAGAGGUCUUCACCAAGCAGAGAGCAGCAAAGGCUAGAAACACCGCGAUCCUUGUCAGCAAUCAACAAAGUGAGUGAGACUCAGCCCUCCUUCUCUGAAUUAUAUGGUGACGCUGAGCAAUGGGCCCCACCAUGCAGGCUUAAUGCAAAGAACACUGGAGUGUUCAAAGACCUGAAGUUCAUUCCUGGGAAUGUACUAACGUUUCAAUUAAUAAAUAUUUCUUGGGCAUCUACUCUAUUUCAGGCUUGCACUAGGCACCUGUAACACAACAAUGAACAUAUCACUAAUUUGCUGUUGGACUUCUCUGAGCCUUAGUAUCCUCAUAUGACAUGGGAGAUAACCACUGUGUCACAGAAUUCUUUUGAGUAUCAGAUGUGUUUUCAAAAGUCUACUAUACAACUUUGCUAACAUAAAGGUUAUAAUUUUACUGGAUCUGAACUAGAAGGCUUAGUAAAUGCAAGGAUACCCCCACCAAAUGCCAAGGACAACUCCCUCUGGGUCUGGAUAGAAAUCCAGCAGCACAUUCCUACACACUGAAUUCCAUGGUGGAGAUAGCAAAGGAAGAGCAGAAAUUUGACAUAUUCUCUUCAAACCCCUCUCAGGAUCUUUUCCAUAGUUACUGGUGUCAGAAUGUUCAUCAUUGGGAAUUGCACUGAGGGCCUCUUGGAUGAGCCCCCAAAUACAACUGAAACUUCUCAAACCAAGAACAGAUUUAAAGACUCUUUGGAUUACAGGCACCUUUCCAUACACUGAGCUAAUUACCCGACCCUUGGUCCUUCAGCUGUUGAGAAACAUUUGGUGGUCAUUAAGCCUGUUGUUUCCUCAUUUUCCUGCUUACUAGGAUAAACACAUCAAAAUGGAAAGCUUGACGCUCUGACAAUGCUCUCUGAUUAGUGGUUUGCAGAAUCCUCCCUCUGUAAUUUUAUGAUUUGCCAGCUAGAAGAGGAAGAAUGGUGGAAUGCAAAUAGCGGUGUGGCCCAAGAGGGAGUCGGGCACCCUGAACUUUAAACUUGGUUCUACCAUGGAUUAGCUCAGUAAAUUUGGUU